CGUGCAGGCGGUUUGGUAAGUUGGAUGUGAAAGCUCCCGGCUCAACUGGGAGAGGACGUUCAAUACUGUCAGACUAGAGGACGGUAGAGGGAGGUGGAAUUCCCGGUGUAGUGGUGAAAUGCGUAGAUAUCGGGAGGAACACCAGUGGCGAAAGCGGCCUCCUGGACCGUACCUGACGCUAAGACGCGAAAGCUAGGGGAGCGAACG
rnacentral:rRNA from 1 species